rnacentral:rRNA from 1 species
AUGCGCCUCUUCGCCGGCGUCCGCUUCGCCCUCCUCGGCUUCGAUCCCGUCUCCGACGCGCAGUACCGGUCGGAGAUGGUACGGCACGGCGGCGCCGACGCGGGGGGCGCGCAGGAGGGAUGCACCCACCUAGUCGUCAGCGGACUCGUCUACGAUGACCCGGUGUGUGUGGCGGCGCGGGAGCACGGGACGAAGGUCGUGACUGGGCUGUGGGUGGACGACUGCUUUGAUCUCGGAGCCAUGGCUGACGCCGAUCAUGUACUGUACAGGCCAGUGAGAGAUUUGGAAGGCAUACCGGGUGCUGAAUCGUUCUGCAUUUGCUUGACGGGCUACCAAAGACAGAACGGGCGUGAAGCCAUAGUGAAAAUGGUUAAUAUGAUGGGAGCGCGGUUCUCCAAGCCUUUGACAGCAAAAAGGGUCACCCAUCUCAUCUGCUACCAAUUUGAAGGUGAGAAGUACGAGCUUGCUAAAAUGGUGAAGAUUAAUAUUAUUAAUCACCAGUGGUUGGAAGAUUGCUUAAAGGCAUGGGACAUUCUUCCUGUUGAUAAUUAUACUGCCAGAAGUGGUUGGGAAUUGGAGAUAAUGGAGGCAGAAGCUAAAGAUUCUGAAGAUGAAUCACAAAGUGCUGAUAGAGGCUCGUCAGAUAGCAGAGGCAUUGCCAGAAGCAUCCUUGCUACAGAGAUUGCAACGCCCAUUCAUGGUCCUUCUGUCUUCUCUGGCAAUGCAGAGGUUCCUGCAGGAACACACGUGGGUGCUUCGCAACAGAUCAGGGAAGUGAAAGAUGCAAGUGAAUGGUCAGUUGAUGUCAUGGCUGACACACUGAGCACCCCAAACACAAAUGUUGUGACAAUUUCUGCUGAUCCUGAUGCCCAUGCACAUGCAUCACAAGCUGAUAGAGUUGAAGUUGUAGCUGCAGACUCAGAACAUGACAAGUUGGUUUCUCAUAAAACCUUUGAAGCAGGCCCUGAGGAGAUCCCAAUUACUGCAGUCCCUGGUGAAUAUGGAGUAUUUUCUCAGAAAGUAUCAACUUCGCAACAGAUUAAGGAAGUGGAAGAUGCAAGUGAAAGGUCACUUGACGUCAUGGCUGACAUACUGAGCACUCCUAACACAAAUUCUGUGACAAUUUCUGCUGAUCCUGAUGCCCAUGCACCCAUCCACAGUCCUACUGUCUUCACUGGCAAUGCAGAUGCAGUGGCUCCUGCAGGACGAUGCUUGGAGACUUCACAGCAGAUUAGGGAAGUUGAAGAUGUAAGUAAAAGGCCACUUGAUGACAGAGCUGACAGACUAAGUACUCCAAACACAAAUGUUGUGACAAUUUCUGCUGAUCCUGAUGCCCAUGCACAUGCAUCACAAGCUGAUAGAGUUGAAGUUGUAGCUGCAGACUCAGAACAUGACAAGUUGGUUUCUCGUGCAACCUUCCAAGCAGGCCCUAAGGAGAUCCCAAUUACUGCAGUCCCUGGUGAAUAUGGAGUAUUUCCCCAGAAAGUAUCAACUUCUAGUGUGAGAAAUCCUGCUGCCAAGAGGUCACGGAGUCCUGAGGAUGAAACGGCUGUUGUAUCUGUACAUAGUAGCUGUGACUUUGCUGCUUCCAAGUCCAAGCAUGGUAAAGUUCUUUCCAAUGGCAGUGUCGAAGCAGAUCUUGAAAAGACCUGUAGCCUGAGUGCUGCUGAAAGCACAACAUUCGUGCCUGAAGAAAUCUUGAGCAGAGCAAGGAACGCAGUUGCUAAGAGCCCACUCAGUUACAACAGUGAGAUGAAUGAUGCGAUAGUAGUUUGCAAGACGAAGCCUGCUAAUAUGAAUAUGGAGGAAAACCCUACAACUGGCGCAUGCCCAACUGCUGGUAAAACCAAAAGAGUAUCUUUCGAUUUGAGUUUUCGUGAGGCGGUGAACACAGAAAGUUCCACUUCAAAGGUUUCAAGCAGUGCAAGUGCAGACAACCCUGAAACAUGUAGCCCUAUUCCUCUUAGUGUCCUGAAGCCCCGGCGCAAGGUAGUUGCCAAGAGGAGGGGAGCAUCUUCUUUCCAGAAAGGGAGAUCUGGCAGUGAGGCUUGCAGAACAGUUAGUAUCUCAUCUGAAGCAUCAAAGUUGCCUGCAGAGAGUUCCACAAAUGCUGGCAUGGUGACAGUGUACAAGGGUCUCGAUAAUGCUGAUGAAGCCUGGGAAGAUAGGCAAGAAGAUUUGCAAAGCUCUAAACCUAGAAGCAGGAAGAGACAGAAAACUGACCAUAACAAGGAAAACAUACCAGCCAAUACUCGUCUUGCUCCUAAAUCAAAACGUGGGAAAAAGCGUGUGAGUUCUGAAUGUGUCAAAAUAGCAGUAGAGAACAACGAAUCUGUGAUUGAUGACCGCAGUAUGACAGGGGGGAAUGAUGAUGGAUCCUCGGCCGUGUGGGAACCAGAACCUACAUGGUUUAUUUUAAGUGGGCAUCGCCUAUUGAGGAAGCAGUGCAGGUCGAUACUUCUGCGCCUGAAGGGGAGAGUUUGCAGUCAUUCACACCAUUGGUUUUUCCAAGCGACACAUUUUAUCACCCCUGAGCUCCGCAGAACUGAAAAAUUCUUUGCAGCUGCUGCAGCGGGGAGGUGGAUACUGAAGCCUGAGUACCUGUUUGCUUGCGAUGAGGCUGGCAAGCUAGUGGACGCAGAAUCAUUUGAGUGGCACGGUGAUGGCCUUAACGACAACCAGACGAUAAGCCUGAACGCUCCGAGGAAAUGGCGGCACCUGAAGCAGCGCACCGGCCAUGGCGCCUUCCACGGGAUGCGGAUCAUCAUAUAUGGAGAGUGCAUUUCCCCAUCACGGGACACCCUGAGGCGCGCGGUGCGAGCCGGCGACGGCACGGUCCUGGCCACCGCCCCGCCGUACACGCGGUUCCUGAAGCUGGGCGCGAUCAGCUUCGCGGUGGUGGCCGCGGGCACGCCGAGCAGCAACGCGUGGGUGCAGGAGUUCAAGAGCCACGGCAUCCCGUGCGUGAGCCCGAGCUAUCUGGUGGACUACGUGUGCAAGCCGGGCCACCUGGAGCAGCACAAGCACGUCCUCUUCGGCAUGGAGGACCUGGCCGACGAGUCCCUGCGGAAGCUGCUGUCGUCGGCCCAGGAGCAGGAGGGAGGCGACGCUGAGCAGAGCUGCGGCUCCGGCGCGAUGGUGGUGGUGCACGAGUCAGAAGGCCCGAUCUCGUACGUGGCCGCCGGAGACGCGGCGGAGAUGGCCUCAGCCUCCUGA